rnacentral:rRNA from 1 species
GAUGAACGCUGGCGGUAUGCCUAACACAUGCAAGUCGUACGAGGGUUUUUAACUCUAGUGGCGGACGGGUGAGUAACACGUGAGAAUUUGCCUUUAGGAGGGGGAUAACAAUCGGAAACGAAUGCUAAUACCCCAUAUGCUUUUGAGUGAAAUGGAUUUAUCCGCCUAAAGAGAAGCUCGCGGCUGAUUAGCUUGUUGGUAAGGUAAGAGCUUACCAAGGCGACGAUCAGUAUCUGGUUUGAGAGGACGAUCAGACACACUGGAACUGAGACACGGUCCAGACUCCUACGGGAGGCAGCAGUGGGGAAUUUUCCGCAAUGGGCGAAAGCCUGACGGAGCAAUACCGCGUGAGGGAAGACUGCCCAUGGGUUGUAAACCUCUUUUUUUCUAGGGAGGGAAUAAAAUAGACGUGUACCUGAAGAAUAAGACAUCGGCUAACUCCGU